GCCAGGCAUGGUGGCACGUGCCUAUAGUCCCAGCUAUUCAGGAGGCUGAGGUGGGAGGAUUGCUUGAGCCCAGGAGUUCUGGGCGGUAGUGCACACUAUGCCGAUUUGGUGUCUGCACUAAGUUUGGCAUCAGUAUGGUGACCUCCCAGGAGCGGGGGACCACCAGGUUGCCUAAGGAGGGGUGAACUGGUACAGGUCGGAAAUGGAGCAGGUCAAAACCCCCGUGCUGAUCAGUAGUGGAAUCGCACCUGUGAAUAGCCACUGCACUCUAGCCUAGGCAGCAUAGCAAGACCUCGUCUCU
rnacentral:SRP_RNA from 1 species